rnacentral:rRNA from 1 species
UAUGUGAUCGUCUCUCGCAUAUCAAUAAGCGGAGGAAAAGAAACUAACAAGGAUUCCCCUAGUAACGGCGAGUGAAGCGGGAAGAGCUCAAAUUUGAAAUCUUAAAGGGUUUCCCUUUACGAAUUGUAGUUUAAAGAAGUGUUUUCUGUUGAGGUUUUGGUAAAAGUUCUUUGGAAUAGGACAUCAUAGAGGGUGAGAAUCCCGUAUUUGACCUUUACUUUCAACUUUGUGAUACACUUUCAAAGAGUCGGAUUGUUUGGGAAUGCAGUCCAAAAUGGGUGGUAAAUUUCAUCUAAAGCUGAAUAUUGGCGAGAGACCGAUAGCGAACAAGUACCGUGAGGGAAAGAUGAAAAGAACUUUGAAAAGAGAGUUAAACAGUACGUGAAAUUGUCAAAAGGGAAGCGUUUGACACCAGGUGUUGUUUUUCUGAAAAUCAAUUAAAGAACUGUUUAUGCUAAGUUGUUUAGACUUUAUCAGCUAACUGUUUAGUUUUGAGCUUUUCUUUAAUGCACUUUUCAGUUAACAAGUCAACAUCGAUUUCUUUUGCUGUAAAAAAGCUUGAGGAAGGUGGCUUGAGAUUCGUCUUAAUGUGUUUAUAGCCUCUUGCCUAUGCAGUCGGAGAGAUUGAGGUCUGCAGCGUAGAUCCUUCGGGGCUAAAUGCAUUUGUGCUAAGUUAUAGCAUUUUAUAGACAACUUGUUGUACUAUGAUUUGUCUUGUAGCUUACUCGCUUAUGUUAUUUUACCUACGCUUAGGAUGUUGAUCUACAGAGCGAGAGU